AAGGGCGCAUGGUGAAUGCCUAGGCACUAGAAGCCGAUGAAGGACGUGACGAACCACGAAAGGCUUCGGGGAGCAGUAAGUAAGCGAUGAUCCGGAGAUAUCCGAAUGGGGGAACCCAAUACCGCGAGGUAUUAUCAAGAGCUGUUAAGGCUGUUGAAGGAAGA
rnacentral:sRNA from 1 species